GAAGUCCACUGAACCUUAUCAUUUAGAGGAAGGAGAAGUCGUAACAAGGUUUCCGUAGGUGAACCUGCGGAAGGNUCAUUGUCGAUGGCAAGAGACGAGGGAGACCCGCGAACACCGUCACCCGGAUGAUGGGGGUGGGGGCGCUGCGCCCGCCGCGGCACCGGCGCGAGGCCGGGCGUGGGCGCGGCCGGCGAUCCUCUGCUCCCGCCGCGGCACCGGCGUGAGGCCGGGCGCGGCGAACGACCGACGCACCCACGGCGCGAGUGGCGCCAANGACCCCGAAGAGGANCGCGGGGGAAGANGGCGGGCGCAAGGACGUCCCCUCCGCCGCGGGAGGGAAUAGAUAGAAAGUCUUUGACGACUCUCGGCAACGGAUAUCUCGGCUCUCGCAUCGAUGAAGAACGUAGCGAAAUGCGAUACUUGGUGUGAAUUGCAGAAUCCCCCGAACCAUCGAGUCUUUGAACGCAAGUUGCGCCCGAGGCCACCCGGGCGAAGGCACGCCUGCCUGGGCGUCACGCACCGCGCUGCCCGCACGACCCCCGACGGGGCUGCCGGCCGAGAUUGGCCGACGUGCGCCCCGCGCGCGCGGGCUGAAAGCUAUAUNCCGGAAUGCCCCCGAAGGGCGUCGGCACCGCGUUGGGUGGUCUCGAGGGCUCCCGGAGCCGUUCCGAUCGGACGCCGCGCGCGCCGCCCGCUCCGAGGGGACGUAGGCGCCUUCCCCCCGCGGGACUCUGCGUCGCGAC
rnacentral:rRNA from 1 species